CACGGGGGGAGCAAGCGUUGUUCGGAAUCACUGGGCGUAAAGGGCGUGUAGGCGGUCAGGUAAGUGGGAUGUGAAAUGCCCCGGCUCACCCGGGGACCGGCACCCCAUACUGCUUGGCUUGAGUACGGGAGAGGAUGUGGGAAUUCCUGGUGUAGCGGUGAAAUGCGUAGAUAUGUGGAGGAACACCGAUGGCGAAGGCAGCCCCCUGGGUCAAAACUGACGCUCAUGCACGAAAGCGUGGGGAGCAAACAGG
rnacentral:rRNA from 1 species